rnacentral:rRNA from 1 species
ACCGCAGCAAUGGGGAAUAUUGGACAAUGGGGGAAACCCUGAUCCAGCCAUGCCGCGUGUGUGAAGAAGGCCUUCGGGUUGUAAAGCACUUUUGUCCGGAAAGAAAACUCAGGGGCUAAUACCUCUGGAGGAUGACGGUACCGGCAGAAUAAGC